AAAAUAGGCGGUAAAGAGGGAGGGGGGGUGGGGAGGGGGGGGGAAAUUAAUAGGCAACAAAAAUAGGAAUCGAAAAUCUUCGAGAGGCUGGGCUGGCGAAAGGGCUGGUGCCCGACCGGCCUUUUUGCUGACUAUUUUCUGUGCGAUGGGUGGGAAGGAGAAAGUUGCGGCACACUUUUUAUUCCUGUCUCCUCUGCAGACGCUUGGGAGCGUGAAGGGAGGAUGCCUUUUUUUUUUUUUUUUUUUNNNNNNNNNNNNNNNCCCCCCCCCCUUCUUCUUUUCCCUCCUUUCUACUGAAUUAUUCAUAUUGUCAGUGGUGAAGCCAGGACUAUUAGCAUGCAUCAGACAUGCUGUUUGUCUGUUUGCUAACAUUCUUCAUUCAGGACUUGUUAACUACCAGACAAGCUUAACACGCUUCUCUUUUUUCCCCUCCUCUCCUCUUUCCCUCCGUCUCUCCCCCCUCGCCCCCCCUCGCUCCCUCCCCUCUGUUCUGCCUUCCUCUCUGCCUGCUCUGCUCCCUUGGCUUCGCCGCCGUCCCUGCCACCCCUCGCAGCCGCCCAUUGUUGCCGCGGGGCCGUGCGGGCGCGGGGCGAGGCCGCCUCCCGGGCCUGCCCGGCCGCGCAGAUGCGCCGCCUCGCCGGGAGCCUCCCGCCCGCCCGCCCGGGGACUGCGGAGCUGCGAGGGAACACCCAGCGCCGCAUCCACCGCCGGCCCCGCCAGGGUCCAGCUCUGGCCCUUGGAAGGGCAUCACUCGCUGCGGAGCUGGGAGCAGCCAGGUGGAGCAGACCGCUGGGAAAAGGGAGCUCGGUGUGUGACAGCAAGAUUCACCAGUGCCCCUUCCACAGCCGCAUAUCAGCCUGGAUGUGGUCACCCUGUCAGGAGUGUAAAAUUUACAGCAGAAAUUAUUUUAACACUGGAAAAGCUCUUACUCAUCUGA
ensembl:lncRNA